AGCGAACGCUGGCGGCAGGCUUAACACAUGCAAGUCGAGCGGGCGUAGCAAUACGUCAGCGGCAGACGGGUGAGUAACGAGUGGGAAGGUACCUUUUGGUUCGGAACAACACAGGGAAACUUGUGCUAAUACCGGAUAAGCCCUUACGGGGAAAGAUUUAUCGCCGAAAGAUCGGGCCGCGUCUGAUUAGCUAGUUGGUAGGGUAAUGGCCUACCAAGGCGACGAUCAGUAGCUGGUCUGAGAGGAUGAUAAGCCACAUUGGGACUGAGACACGGCCCAAACGCCUACGGGAGGCAGCAGUGGGGAAUAUUGGACAAUGGGGGCAAGCCUGAUCCAGCCAUGCCGCGUGAGUGAUGAAGGCCCUAGGGUUGUAAAGCUCUUUUGUGCGGGAAGAUAAUGGCGGUACCGCAAGAAUAAGCCCCGGCUAACUUCGUGCCAGCCGCCGCAGUAA
rnacentral:rRNA from 1 species